AUCAAUUAAAAAACGAAAACAUUUUUUUUUCUACAUUUCAUCUUUAAAACUUAAUUUCUCAAAAACUAUUUAAUGAAACAACUUGACUCAAAAAAUGAAAAGUUAUAGCACAGGGUUAUACGUGCAUUUUAUGAUUUUUAAUAUUUUUUUUUCUACCGGCUAAUCGGGAGGUAAGUGGGUAAGCACUUAAGUGGCUUUAACUGUACCAAGAAAAUGAAAAUUUUUCCUUCCGAAUAUUUUUUUUGUCAUUUGGUACCUUUUGAUGUGGAAAAUGUGCCCAAAUAUUUUUGGCCAGGUUUUAGACUAAAAUACCGCACUGUGCAUCGUUAAAAUUCGCUGCUUGUCAGUCAGUCGUAUGAUACUUCACUUUAUUUCUAACUGUUAUUGCUGAUUUUUUUGCCAAUCCGUCCCUUGUGUCCCCCCCCAGAAAAAAAUCCUGGAUCCGCCCUUGGUUAUCAGAGAAACUUUUCAUAAAUUGUUAAAGAGAUGAGGGUGACUAAACUAUAAAAGGACUGAACCUGAAGAAUGAGAAGACACCGUAGUCCUCUGAGCCAAGAUAAAAAAAUUAAAUAAACUAGUGGACAUCAACAGACAACUUUUCAUCUGAGAAGACUCUAAGAAAAAUAAAAUGAAAGAAUCUAUUGAGAAUCAGUUGAAAGGACUUUCGAGAACGCUCCCGCAUUACGAGUCUCUUUCAACCUACAUCUCCAAGCAAGGGCUAAAUUGUUCGGCUUUGUGAAUACCUUAAUAGAUUUUCACAGACUGAAACUGCUAAGUCUUUCUUGUAUUUUAAAAUCGUUUUUGGUGUGAAUAACCAUGUGGCAACGCGAUACCGCAACCAUACUAUCAGUCAUCGGGACUCACAGGCAGACAUCACCAAAUGUUAUAAAAUUUAAGCAAAGUUAAAAAACUAAAAAAAUCAAAAAAUUAAAAAAUUAAAAAAUUUAAACUAAAUUGCAAUCAAAUCUUGAAGUGGCUCAAAAAUCUUAGCCUCACUAUUUCGUAAUAGUGGGCAACAACACGUUGGGCGCCAUUUUGUAACAGGUUUAUUUAGGUACCGAAGAUCUUUGCUGGUAUGCUGGUCGCUACUGUAGCUCGCCGGUGGGUGUGGUUCUUUGAUCUUCAACCACAGACAAUUAUAUACAGAUAUCGCAUCCCAUAGAAAAAAAAGAAACCUCUCGCCUUAUUCUUGAAAGAUAUUUACAAGUAUAGAAUGUUAAUUAUCACAGAAUUUGAAUAGUUACAUUUAUUUAUUAUUUUAUAAAGAAAAGAUACAUUUAUAUAUAAAUUUGCUAACCGAGCUGACGGCAAUGCCAUAGCUUUAAAUUCUUUAAAUUGUUAACAUGUAUCUAAGGAACAAAUCAAUAAAAUGAAUUAAUUACUUACUAAUUACUAAUUACUAGGAAAAAAUGGUCAUCAAAAUUUUUUCCAGCCGACACAUUUCAGCCGACAAGAGCUUUUUAAAUUUGAAUCAAAAAGGAGAAGAGAAUUUUUCAGCCGACAAAAAAGCUUUUUUUUUCAAUUUAAAAAGAGAACAAUAAGAAAGGAUCUCUUAACGACCAUGAACUUACUCACUCUCCCGCGAAAAUAAAAAAAAGGAGUGCUUGUGGGUAGACAGAGAUAGAAGUGAUUUCAAUUCGUCUUUGACUUUCUAAGCAAUCAGCUGCUGUGAAAUAUUUCAAAUAGAUAUCGUCGGCGUACAACAAUUUUGCUUUACGCCGACGAUAUGUAGGUACAUAAACUGUAUGUAAUUGAAAAUAUUUUAUAAGAGUGUCGGCUGGUUUUGAGAUUUCAUGGGCACUGGGCACCGAUCAGAUUGUUGGUGAAAUAUAAACAUGAGCAUAGUAUGGGUAUUUGCGUAUACAUACAUAAGGCCGAUGUCGUUGGGCGUCAUGACGUCUGCGUGCAUAAGGCGGCCCAUAGACAAGAUACUUGUGUGUUCGCUACGUUGUGCAAACAAGUGUGGUGUCUGGUGUGUAUGGGUCUGUGAAAAUUUAAGUAGAUGGAUAGGUAGGUAAGCAGGUUCUUAGAUAGAGAAGAGUGAAUGAAUUGGCGAAUUCUAUUCAUGUUUUUGCAUUCAUCCAGGUGAACUUUAUUUUUUUUUGAUGGAACAUGGAAGCAAGAAAUAAAAAAAAUAAAGCAGGGUUGUAAAAAAUCUUUUUUAAAACAAAUAUUUACUGCAACUUGAUAAUGUUUUGCAUUAAAAAAAUACUAUUGCACCAUCUUUAUUGACAAAAACAAUAUUUUGCCUUAAAAAAAUUGUACCUAUUGCAAAUAAAAAAAAAUUCUCCAUAGAAAAAACAAAUCAAUGCAAAGUGUGGGGGUGUGGGCAAAAAAUAGUUCAUUUUUAAUAUUCGUCGAACUUCUUACAAUUUUAGUUGCAACAAUUAUUUUUUUAAU